AGUUUGAUCCUGGCUCAGAACGAACGCUGGCGGCAGGCUUAACACAUGCAAGUCGAACGAUAUAGUGGCAGACGGGUGAGUAACGCGUGGAAACGUGCCUUUCACUACGGAAUAGCUUUUGGAAACGAAAGGUAAUACCGUAUACGCCCUCCGGGGGAAAGAUUUAUCGGUGAAAGAUCGGUCCGCGUUAGAUUAGCUAGUUGGUGAGGUAAAAGCUCACCAAGGCGACGAUCUAUAGCUGGUCUGAGAGGAUGAUCAGCCACACUGGGACUGAGACACGGCCCAGACUCCUACGGGAGGCAGCAGUGGGGAAUAUUGCACAAUGGGCGCAAGCCUGAUGCAGCCAUGCCGCGUGAAUGAUGAAGGCCUUAGGGUUGUAAAAUUCUUUCGCUAGGGAUGAUAAUGACAGUACCUAGUAAAGAAGCCCCGGCUAACUUCGUGCCAGCAGCCGCGGUAAUACGAAGGGGGCUAGCGUUGUUCGGAAUUACUGGGCGUAAAGCGCACGUAGGCGGACUUUUAAGUCAGAUGUGAAAUCCCGAGGCUCAACCUCGGAACUGCAUUUGAAACUGGGAGUCUAGAGAUCAGGAGAGGUUAGCGGAAUACCGAGUGUAGAGGUGAAAUUCGUAGAUAUUCGGUGGAACACCAGUGGCGAAGGCGGCUAACUGGACUGAUACUGACGCUGAGGUGCGAAAGUGUGGGGAGCAAACAGGAUUAGAUACCCUGGUAGUCCACACCGUAAACGAUGAGUGCUAGUUGUCUGCAGGCAUGCCUGUAGGUGACGCAGCUAACGCAUUAAGCACUCCGCCUGGGGAGUACGGCCGCAAGGUUAAAACUCAAAGAAAUUGACGGGGGCCCGCACAAGCGGUGGAGCAUGUGGUUUAAUUCGAAGCAACGCGCAGAACCUUACCUACGCUUGACAUGCCCGGACGAUUUCCAGAGAUGGAUCUCUCCCUUCGGGGCCGGUGCACAGGUGCUGCAUGGCUGUCGUCAGCUCGUGUCGUGAGAUGUUGGGUUAAGUCCCGCAACGAGCGCAACCCUCAUCCUUAGUUGCCAUCACGUUUGGGUGGGCACUCUAGGGAAACUGCCGGUGCUAAGCCGGAGGAAGGCGGGGAUGACGUCAAGUCCUCAUGGCCCUUACGCGUAGGGCUACACACGUGCUACAAUGGCGGUGACAAUGGGAUAAUCCCCAAAAACCGUCUCAGUUCGGAUUGUCGGCUGCAACUCGCCGGCAUGAAGUUGGAAUCGCUAGUAAUCGUGGAUCAGCAUGCCACGGUGAAUACGUUCCCGGGCCUUGUACACACCGCCCGUCACACCAUGGGAGUUGGAUCUACCCGAAGAUUGUGAGCUAACUUCGGAGGCAGCAAGCCACGGUAGGUUCAGCGACUGGGGUGAAGUCGUAACAAGGUAGCC
rnacentral:rRNA from 1 species